rnacentral:misc_RNA from 1 species
GAUGAAGAACGCAGCGAAAUGCGAUAAGUAAUGUGAAUUGCAGAAUUCAGUGAAUCAUCGAAUCUUUGAACGCACAUUGCGCCCCUUGGUAUUCCGAGGGGCAUGCCUGUUCGAGCGUCAUUAUAACCCCUCAAGCUCAGCUUGGUGUUGGGGCCUGCCGCACGGGCAGCCCUUAAAAUCAGUGGCGGUGCCAUCUGGCUCUAAGCGUAGUAAUUCUUCUCGCUAUAGAGUCCCGGUGGAUGCUUGCCAUUAACCCCCAAUUUUCUAUGGUUGACCUCGGAUCAGGUAGGGAUACCCGCUGAACUUAAGCAUAUCAAUAAGCAGAGGA